CCUACGGGGGGCAGCAGUGGGGAAUAUUGGACAAUGGGCGAAAGCCUGAUCCAGCCAUGCCGCGUGUGUGAAGAAGGCCUUCGGGUUGUAAAGCACUUUCAGUGGGGAAGAAAGCCUUGGGGCUAAUACCCUCGAGGAAGGACAUCACCCACAGAAGAAGCACCGGCUAACUCCGUGCCAGCAGCCGCGGUAAUACGGAGGGUGCGAGCGUUAAUCGGAAUUACUGGGCGUAAAGCGCGCGUAGGCGGUCUGAUAAGCCGGUUGUGAAAGCCCCGGGCUCAACCUGGGAACGGCAUCCGGAACUGUCAGGCUAGAGUGUAGGAGAGGAAGGUAGAAUUCCCGGUGUAGCGGUGAAAUGCGUAGAGAUCGGGAGGAAUACCAGUGGCGAAGGCGGCCUUCUGGACUGACACUGACGCUGAGGUGCGAAAGCGUGGGUAGCAAACAGGAUUAGAUACCCUUGUAGUC
rnacentral:rRNA from 1 species